AGCGAACGCUGGCGGCAGGCUUAACACAUGCAAGUCGAACGCCCGUAGCAAUACGGGAGUGGCAGACGGGUGAGUAACGCGUGGGAACAUGCCCUUUGGUUCGGAAUAACCCAGGGAAACUUGAGCUAAUACCGGAUAAGCCCGAGAGGGGAAAGAUUUAUCGCCGAAGGAUUGGCCCGCGUCCGAUUAGCUAGUUGGUGAGGUAAUGGCUCACCAAGGCGACGAUCGGUAGCUGGUCUGAGAGGAUGAUCAGCCACACUGGGACUGAGACACGGCCCAGACUCCUACGGGAGGCAGCAGUGGGGAAUAUUGGACAAUGGGGGCAACCCUGAUCCAGCCAUGCCGCGUGAGUGAUGAAGGCCCUAGGGUUGUAAAGCUCUUUCGGCGGGGACGAUAAUGACGGUACCCGCAGAAGAAGCCCCGGCUAACUUCGUGCCAGCAGCCGCGGUAACAC
rnacentral:rRNA from 1 species